GGGUGUAAAGGGCGUGUAGGCGGUCUUGCAAGUCGGAAGUGAAAUUCCCGGGCUUAACCCGGGCGCUGCUCCCGAAACUGCGAGACUUGAGUACUGGAGAGGAUAGUGGAAUUCCUAGUGUAGCGGUAAAAUGCGUAGAUAUUAGGAGGAACACCAGUGGCGAAGGCGGCUAUCUGGACAGUAACUGACGCUGAGGCGCGAAAGCGUGGGGAGCAAACA
rnacentral:rRNA from 1 species